rnacentral:precursor_RNA from 12 species
AAGACGGAGGUCAGAGGGAGCGGCGCGGGCGCGGGAAAAGUUCGCAUUUUGACUUGGUACGGAGGGAGUCAAGCUCGAACUUUUCCUGCGUCGCUGCCCGCUCAAUGUCCACACCCUGCUG